UUUCCCCUGAAACAGAGAAUAGACAAAGUUAUCAAUUGCCUUCCAGAAAUUUCCAGCUUGAUGGUGAAAUAAAGGUUCAUGUCCCUUUACAAUUCACAACCAACCCAAGCAAUUUGUUCUGAUUCUUUUUUGCAGGUUGCAAAUUAGGAUGAGGGGGUGGAGUCUAUUGGCAUAAGCGGUCUCCCUAGAGCAUAAGAAAACAGAAAUCAUAGCUUUGGGCUCAGACUAUAGCAACAGAAGCAAUAGCAAUAGAAUCUAGUAAAGUCUCAUAAAAAUAUGAAUAUAUAAUAUAUAUAUUUAAAAUGUUAUAUAUAUAUACUUUAAUGUGUGUUAUACAUAUAUAAAACAAGAAGCAUAUUCAUGAAAUAUACAUUGUUCAUAUUCUUGCACCCUUUCCACACAUAUCUCAACUCCAGACACUCAAGAAAAUAAAAACAUUUGCAGAAAGCUGGAGAUCCCCUCCCUUAAGAACACCAGUGAAUGAAACCACACUUUCAAAUCCACAAUAGGAAAAUAAACAUAUAUACCACAUUCAAAUUCAAAUAGAGCUACAGGAUUAUAAGGAAAUGGUCUUUUUUUGUCUCAAAUUGUGUCCUUCCUCUUGCCUUAUCCCCUAAUUUCACUAGUGAAAGGAAAUCUAAGAGGAUAUUGAUGGGGAAGGGAAGAAAUAAAACAAUUUCUCUUCUUUAAAAAGAAAAAAAAAAAGCACCUGUAAAACAUAUAAUUUCACCACUGAGUUUUUAUAAGCCUAACUGGGCCAUCACUGCACUGCUGGUUUCUACCAUCUACCAGCUUUCUUCACAACUUGCAGUGGGAUACAGAGCAUGACACAACCAAAUGGCAACAAAUACCAAUAUUAUAAAGAAAGCAGUAGCUGUAUAGAACCUCAUCCAAUUAUCUUAAGGCGACGUGCCAGUGAAAAGUAUAUAAGCAGAUCUAAUUUAAUAGCUUUCUAUAUUGCCUCAAAGUUAAAAGACACAGAAAAUAUUUGUCAGGUUUGGGUAUUCUCAUUAUUCCAGAACACAAUUUUGUAGCUUCUUCUAUGAAUUAUAUAUAAGAUUUCACUGAAGAAAAAAUUUAUUCUGAAAGUGCAAAGACUCCUUAAUACUAGAAAAUGAGAAAAACAGUCACACCUUUGUGUUAAAAAAAAAAGGUAGAAUCUAUAAUAACUUAAAUUUUUCUUUUUGUCCAUACUUCUUAGAAAAGUGUCUAAAUCUAUACCUGGAAAAGUGAUUUUAAAAAAGAUCUGAAAUAUUGAACACAUACUUCCCAAUAAUCUUUUCCCAACAAGUUUCAGAUAUUUAGAGAAGGCUGAAAGUGUUAGCUGAAGUGGGGCCAGGAUCUCUGAGAUGGAAGUUCAACUACUUUCAAUGAUAGAAAGCCACUAUUGUGUCUGGGCCUUACUUCUUUAAAAAUCUCCAGCCCACAAUCGCCUUUUUCAGUAUUGAAAUAUCUGAAUAUCUUGUCUUAAUCAAAUUAAGAGGUUUUCUAUUUUUAAUGAAGUUUUGAUUUAUUAUUGUUGUUUUUAAGGUCGAAAAAUGUUCACAUUACUCAGUGCUCAAGGAAACAUAAAUAUGUUCAGAGAUUCAGAAAAUAAAUUACUGUACCUGAAAAUAUUAACAAAUGCAUUGAUUCUGAGGCAUACACCACCCUCUCCUGUGAUUCCCAAGUACAACCGAGAACUCCACAGAAGCUUUCUCGACUGAAGCGAUACGGAUAUCGAGCCCAUUCAUCUUUCAACAGAAGUCUGUUAUAAACAACUCCCGCAGCCAGUCAGGUUCUGAAACUGGUCUUUUUUGAAGAGAACCGUGAAUUACUUGCUUUAGAAGAACGGAGAAAAACCCUAAGUCGAUAAGGAAGAACUUCUCGAGGGAGCCCAAAUCAUCUCUAAAAAAGGAAGAAGAUGUGGAGGAGGGGUAAAAGUGGAGUGGGGGAGUGAAAAACAGCAAACACCGGAUAAAUAGAGGUAGCUCCCCGGAGAAAGCGGCUGCAGGCAAAGAACACACAAAGCCAUUGCUAAACGUACCAAAGAUGACAAAUAAAAGCCCUAAGUGAGAGAGUUUGAAUUUGAAAUGGCUGGUUUCCCCACUCACAGUGUGUGUUAGGGUUGUUACCCAGGGGGAAGUACAACUGCAGGUCCAGGCAAUUAAAAGUAUUUACAUGCAAA